rnacentral:misc_RNA from 1 species
CAAAAGGAACUCUGGUAAACCUAGUAGUAGCAUAUUGAGAACCACGGAAAAUACGGGGCCAUGUCAUGAUGGGAGUUGCUUCUUGGUGAGCAGAGCUUCUCUUAACAACCUGCAAGAGCGAAAAAGCUUAGAGAAUCCAUGACAUAUCUUAGAAGCAAUGAAUCAUCAAGCAGCAUUUCACGAUCCAUAUAUGUAUAAAUAUAUCUGCCAUUUUAACACCCUAACUUGUAAUCUUCAAAUUACAGAGAGUGUCAACACAAUGCAAAAUACACAAACCCUUGUUAUCCAUGUAAACUUUAAACUGAUCUUGUAUUCUAUUAUCCAGCUUGUUAUAUAUGUCCGUAACAGGACACAAGAUGUACAUGAUAUAAUUACAUCUCAACCAAUUAUAUCAAUAUUUAAGGUCAAACAAGCUAAAAUAUAUAGAACCUGCAACUUCCCUUGAUAGUUGACAUAGUGAUUUUAAGAAUUACACCAAUAUUUCAAGACUCCCAAGAAACUACUCAAGUUUUAGCAUAAACCAAGGACAGCCACUACACUUCUAGCAGUGGUCCAUAAAAUCAUUAUCAAACUAAUUUUUUUCAUGUCAUGCCCCUGAAAGUAACCGCACAUAACACACCUACAUAUACAGGGAGAGAGAGACAAGGAAAAAAAAAGUAAAAAACUUUUAUGACAACACAGUAAUAAACUAUUCAGUCACAGCCUAUUAAACUAUCUUACAGCCAAAAUGCAAGCAAUCAAUUAAUUAUUACCAGUUUUUAGCAACUUCAGCUAUCUACCUAACCAUUUAAGAUAUUUUAUUACAAAAAAAAAAGGCACA